UGAGGAAUAUUGGACAAUGGGUGAGAGCCUGAUCCAGCCAUCCCGCGUGAAGGAUGACGGUCCUAUGGAUUGUAAACUUCUUUUGUACAGGGAUAAACCUACUCUCGUGAGGGUAGCUGAAGGUACUGUACGAAUAAGCACCGGCUAACUCCGUGCCCGCAGCCGCGGUAAUACGGAGGGUGCAAGCGUUAUCCGGAUUUAUUGGGUUUAAAGGGUCCGUAGGCGGACUUGUAAGUCAGUGGUGAAAUCUCAUAGCUUAACUAUGAAACUGCCAUUGAUACUGCAGGUCUUGAGUAAAUUUGAAGUGGCUGGAAUAAGUAGUGUAGCGGUGAAAUGCAUAGAUAUUACUUAGAACACCAAUUGCGAAGGCAGGUCACUAAGAUUUAACUGACGCUGAUGGACGAAAGCGUGGGGAGCGAACA
rnacentral:rRNA from 1 species